UACGUAGGGUCCGAGCGUUGUCCGGAAUUACUGGGCGUAAAGAGCUCGUAGGUGGUUUGUCGCGUUGUUCGUGAAAACUCACAGCUCAACUGUGGGCGUGCGGGCGAUACGGGCAGACUUGAGUACUGCAGGGGAGACUGGAAUUCCUGGUGUAGCGGUGGAAUGCGCAGAUACUCAGGAGGAACACCGGUGGCGAAGGCGGGUCUCUGGGCAGUAACUGACGCUGAGGAGCGAAAAGCGUGGGGAGCGAACAGG
rnacentral:rRNA from 1 species